UGUGUGCAGGCUUGGGUUCAUUAACAUCUGGAGCAGAGAUCCCCCAUCAUGCAGUGCUUCCCUGCUUUUCUGGUCCCAGAGUUCAGUGCAGUUCUUGCCUUGGAAUCUCUGUUCUCCAUUCUGUAUUCUAACGGGGAUGCCUCCCUGUCUCAUCUUUGAUGCAAAUGAGGCUAGGAACAUAAGAAAGGCAAGAAGAGAAAGCACA